UGAGUGGCACUGCUGUUACCGUUAGCUGCACCAGGGACAGCGUUGGUGGAAGAGACAGCCAGCAAUGGGUGAUGAUGGCCACAGAAGGAUACCACACCACAACAAAAAUUGAAGAUUAAAAAACUAUGAAAAAAUUAGAGUCUGGCAGAGAGAGAGGAAGAGAAGAGAGAAGAAAGAAGAGGGCAGAAGAGAAGGGAGAGAAAAGAUGGGAGGGUAGAACGGAAAGCCAGCUGGGAAAAAGGUUGACAAAGAAGAUGGAAAGAACGACAAAAGAGCAGAAGGGAGAGCCAGGAGAGAGAAGGCUGACAGAGAAGAGAGAAAAAAAGAAGAGGGCAGGACAGAGCAAAGAGAAUGACAGAAGAAAGAAGAGGAGACAAGAAAGAAUGAAGGUGUUUAUACAUUAAAAGACAAUCUUUUCAA